UUGCUGGAAACCAACAAGCAUCCCUCGGGCUCCGUACUGCUUCUACCCUCCACAAUACGAUACCUACCACUUCAUGAACAGUACGGAAAACAAACAUGGCAUUACAGUUUAUUAUGGGAAAGGACGGGACGCAAUGUACCCUGGACAGUUUGCGACUGUUAAACUUGAUUUUAAUUAUGUUUCCGAUGAUAUCCUACAGAUAAAGAUAACAGACGCAGAUAACCGCAGAUUCGAACCCGCUUACCCCGAGAUCCCGAUGGUGUCGGGUCCCCUUUCACAGCUGAAGUACCGUGUAGAGGUCGAUAGUUCUGCUGUAGGAUUUAAGGUCGUGAGGAAUGCAGAUAAUGUUACCAUGUGAGAUUAUCACCUAAUUUAUUUAAUAAGAUGGAUAACUGAUUUUGUAAAAUUUUA